rnacentral:rRNA from 1 species
UACGGAGGAUGCAAGCGUUAUCCGGAAUUAUUGGGCGUAAAGCGCGCGUAGGCGGCCUUGUAAGUGUCUUGUGAAAUCCCACGGCUCACCCGUGGAACUGCAGGGCAAUCUGCAAGACUUGAGGUCGGUAGAGGCGCCUGGAACUCUAGGUGGAGCGGUGAAAUGCGUAGAUAUCUAGGGGAACGCCGGAGGCGAAAGCGGGGCGCUGGGCCGAUUCUGACGCUGAUGCGCGAAAGCGUGGGGAGCAAACAGG